GGAGGAGGAGCAUAUUUCCUAGACUUGAACCGAAUGUGAAAUUUAUGAUCUGUACGAAUGGAAGAGGUGACACACACACACACACACACACACACACACACACACACACACACACACACACACACACACACACACACACACACACACACACACACACACACACACACACACACACACACACACACACA